GGAUGAAAGGUUCAUUGAGAAAGAAAAGAUCCAUCUACAGUUUGAACACCUAAGUGAAAAAGAGAUCAUGGAUAUUUAAUUUAACUGUGCUGAAUCAUCAAAACAAAACUUCUUGUAAGAAAAAAAAGGCACCCAGAACACUGCAGCCCACUCUCACGCCUGUAACUUCUCAGAACCUGUUAUGUUGCUGCCAGAUUCUGCC